GGAUGCGAUCAUACCAGCACUAAAGCACCGGAUCCCAUCAGAACUCCGAAGUUAAGCGUGUUUGGGCGAGAGUAGUACUCGGAUAGGUGACCUCCUGGGAAGUCCUCGUGUUGCAUUCCC
rnacentral:rRNA from 1 species